rnacentral:RNase_P_RNA from 1 species
CUGGCUGGCCAGACAGUCGCUGCCCGCAAGGGGAGAGGAAAGUCCGGACUUCAAAGGGUAAGGUGCCAGGUAACGCCUGGGAGGCGAAAGCCUACGGCUAGUGCAGCAGAAAAUAUACCGCCGAUGGCUGCUUGCAGCACAGGUAAGGUUGAAAUGGUGCGGUAAGAGCGCACCGCGC